CCUUUGAAAGACUGACCGAAGGCAUCUCGUCGUCAACGGGAACGUCUCCUCCCACUGAAUGCGCAUCGCCGAAAUUCUAAAAUAAAUUCAGGAAUAAAUACAAGCACUAGGACUUGAACCCUUGUGGGCUGGGAUACCACAGUCCCUCUAACCAUCCAACCACAGAUUGAUUCGCGUAUUUCUCAUUUUAUGAAAGAAAAAGUCCCUAUUUUUAGAGGGGAUUUUUUUUUCUGAACUUGCCAUGUGCAAUUUUAUUAUAUGUAGCAUGGCAACUUAUUUUUCUUUACCUAAUAUUAAAGGGAGGGAGUUUUCAUAGUUCUUCAUACGUCAUCUUUUGAUAUCCGUUGAUUUUACAUUAAUAAUAAAGAUCGACGUUUGAGAUUUAAGAGGUGGAGGGUUUCUUUUUAAUUUUUUUAUCGGUCGUCCAUAUUGAAAAGUACUUUUACCGUACAUCGCAUAACCUGGAUCUCUUUGUCUUCGCGCCAUCUCAUAUAGUCCGGCUCAGAACGUGAAUCAAUCACGAGUAGGUUUGCUACUAGCUAAGGAUUAGUUGCUAGUAUAUAAUAAUGUACAUAUAUCUCUAUAACCGGUACUCCCUCCGUAAACUAAUAUAAAAGCGUUUAGAUUACUCUUUAUGUGAAGUGCGUGUUUCUCAGCGUCAUUGCCUCGUGUGUUUCCGGUCUCUUCGGCUUUACAAAUGAGAUGGCCGGCAUCUCCAGUUCAGGUUGGCCGCUUGGUCAUGUGCGGCUGUAUAGAUGGUUGUUCUUGUUGUGAUGAUGUUCAUGGAUUUGUUGUUGAUGUUAACCCGCUUAUAGCCUGUUCGUUGUUAUGUCGCGUCAAGGUGUGCUCUCGUUGUCAUGUUUUAUUCAAUUAUUGUGCUGAUCUGUGUGGUCCCUUGGUGUGUUCUAAGGCCAACCUGCAGCAUGGCUGUCUCACGAGCUCACCGUUGCAUGGUUUGAUCUGAUUUUGUGUGGUUCUAGCCGGUGCUUAAAUUUUGUCCACAUAUUUAUGGCUGAAGCCCACACAUACAUACUCAUGGAUUUGAUUUUGCGCUAUGCCCUUGUGAACAAUCAAGCUAUCAGGGAGUCGAUUGAGGACCAAAUGGGUAUCUUGUCGCUCAUCUCCGGCAAGUCAGGCGUCAGACUGUCCAUGGCGGAGAAGAGAAUGCUGCCGGGCUCACCGUCCUCGUCACAGGUCAGCGUAUUGUGAUGUUAGCAUGCCCCCUGAAGGACUGCGGGAGUUCUUGCCACGCUUAAUACAAACUUUGGUGUCAAACAUGGUCUACACUGACGAUGACGAAUCACUUGUUGAUGCUGAGGUUUGAAGACGGGCUAGGUUCAAAGUUUUAAGAUGGGCUAGGUUUCACUAGCGUGUGCCCAUCGACUUGGUCUCAACCAUCUUAGGGCAACCCGUCGCUUUAGGGAGAUGGCGGUCCCUUUGACGGCCUCCGGGCUCGGCUCAAUGAUUGGGAUCGGUCAUCGUUGGUGGCGGCGAAGGUGGUAUGGAGUUUUGACCAUGGAAGAGCCCGUACAACUCAGAAGGCAAAGUUGGGAAGCUCCUACAAAGAAGUAUCUGUGAGGAGGCAGCUAGCCUGAAAGUGGAUCUACCGCGUGCUGCUCCUGUCCCCUCUCCCUCAAUUCAUCCUCAUGGAUCUGACAAGUGAGCGACGGAGGCUGUAUAUCAUGAGGUCGUUCGGCAUGGAUAGGGCUCGUCAUGCGGCGCCGUCCUCCCGACCUCCUUCCCAUCAUAGCCUUAUGGGAAUUGGCUUACAAAAAGUGAUUCUAUACUUUAAAUUAUAUCCUUUCUUAAUAUAUGUGCUUGUCCAUUCAGGUUUAUCUUCGCUUGGAAUUGGUGGAAGCGAUCUUAUCCCCCAUUUUCUUUCUCUAUGUUCUGUUUCCUAAGCAACAUAAGCGGUGUCAAUAAUAUGUGAUACUUGUGCAUUUCUAUCUUUAGGCACGACAUCCUUUUCACAACAAGAGAUGAAAAUGCUCCUAUUGUACCUUCGCUUUUAUGUUGCGUGUGUUGCUUUUGAACAAUUGUCUUUUAUGUCGCCAUUCAUGUAAACUACAAGGACAU